rnacentral:rRNA from 1 species
UACGUAGGGUGCAAGCGUUAUCCGGAAUUAUUGGGCGUAAAGAGCUCGUAGGCGGUUUGUCGCGUCUGCUGUGAAAUUUCGGGGCUCAACCCCGAACUUGCAGUGGGUACGGGCAGACUAGAGUGUGGUAGGGGAGACUGGAAUUCCUGGUGUAGCGGUGAAAUGCGCAGGUAUCAGGAGGAACACCGAUGGCGAAGGCAGGUCUCUGGGCCACUACUGACGCUGAGAAGCGAAAGCAUGGGGAGCGAACAGG